GUGGAAAAGAGCACAGUUGGGAUCCAGCCAUCACUCUUGUUCCUGAAGCUUCUAGGAGCUUGAAUAAACCCUUUCCUGUUACCCGCUCUCGUCCCUGGUGAACUGGCUGUCCAGCGGUGAGCAGCGAAGGCUUACUGUUGAAGAUGCAUGGUAGAAGGAAAAUAGCAGUUCGACUUCUUGGUGGUGAUGGUGAAUGAGGAACUGUUAAACACAGAGGAAGACUAACAUGGCGUGAAGCUUCCUACCGUUUACCAUGAGAAACCAAAGACGUUUAAAAAAUUCAAAAAAAUUUCAAGGGCUGCACCAAAACUCUGAAAACAGCAUCAAGCUUUGAAAUCGAUACUGAGCACCUUCUGUCCAGGAGGGAAGAGAAGUGCAUCACACGUGAAGGGACUCGAGGGCGGCCAGAGCUUGAAAAAGGUGGUAAGAGAGGAAGGGAAGUACCCAGAGAGCAACAGACACGGGCACAUUCAGGUACCUUCUCG